GACGAACGCUGGCGGCGUGCUUAACACAUGCAAGUCGAACGGAAAGGCCCUGCUUUUGUGGGGUGCUCGAGUGGCGAACGGGUGAGUAACACGUGAGUAACCUGCCCUUGACUUUGGGAUAACGUCAGGAAACUGGGGCUAAUACCGGAUAGGAGCUCCUGCUGCAUGGUGGGGGUUGGAAAGUUUCGGCGGUUGGGGAUGGACUCGCGGCUUAUCAGCUUGUUGGUGGGGUAGUGGCUUACCAAGGCUUUGACGGGUAGCCGGCAUGAGAGGGUGACCGGCCACAUUGGUACUGAGAUACGGCCCAGACUCCUACGGGAGGCAGCAGUGGGGAAUAUUGCACAAUGGUCGGAAGCCUGAUGCAGCAACGCCGCGUGCGGGAUCACGGCCUUCGGGUUGUAAACCGCUUUCGCCUGUGACGAAGCGUGAGUGACGGUAAUGGGUAAAGAAGCACCGGCUAACUACGUG
rnacentral:rRNA from 1 species